UUUGCCCUUGAGUUGCCUGGCAGGGGUGGCAGCCUUUCUGGCCAUGUGAGCUGGCGGAGCCAGGGCUGUCUCUCUGUGUGGUCCUUUUAUUGUCUGUCUGCCCGGGAAAUGAUCCAAACCUCAACUGUAGCCCAAGAUGUCCAAAGUCCAGAACGCUGGCUGAUCCAGGCAGCCGAGGAAGUAAACAGUUUUUCAUGGGCCUCACAAUGGGCCCAAACAAGAGCUCUGCAGCCUGAGCGAGCCUCGGAGAGGGCUCGGGCGAGAGCAUCUGCUCUGUAGUCCUGGCAGAGAGAAACUGGGAGCUUUGUCUUCCUUUUGAAUAACCCAAAACAUUAGCCUCUAAAAAGCAGAUUGGACCGUGCCCCGCACCAAAGUGGGCUGAAGUCCUACAACCCCAGCUCCUUCAGUGAGUGACCUUAUUUGGUGAUGGGGUCACUCACUGCAGAUGUAACUGGUCACGCUGAAAUGAGGUCACACUGGAGUGGGGGGCUUCAUCCACCGUAACCGGGUCCCUAAGAAUGAGUGGAGUCCGGAUGCAGGCUGGAGCACAGGGAUGGAGGACACACCCUACUGCUGCUCUUUGCCACAUCUAUGUUAACAGCAACCCCGUCUGUGCCAGUGAGAUGGGGGUCACCUUGGCAGAAACCCUAGUCAAUUAAGACAACUAAGAUGGCCACCUGAGUGACCAGCAGUCUUCUUAAAUCCAGGCGGAGGCUUUCAGCAGUGAGAGGGCUUCCAGCUCUGCUGUCUGAGAUCUGGCAUCUGCCAUAAAGCUUCCCAGUUGCUGCAUCCGGAAGGAGAAUCCAGAGGAUGAAAUGUACUGCCUGCCUGGCUGAGGUUGCCAGUACCAGCUCCUACCACCAGAGGCUGAGAUGACUCUGAACAUCCUCCCUGCAUUCUCUGUUCCGAGGACACCCAUAUGACCAAUGCCCAGAAAGAGAAACAUUUGGACAUUGUUCCAAGGAAUUCGAGGGCCAAUGAAGAGUGGAGGCAAAGUGCUAGACCCAAGGGCUUUGCAUUUUCUUGUCUAGCACCACUGAGUGUGAUGGCCAGACAGUGCAGGGGCGGGGGGAGGGGGGAGGAGGGCAGCAGGGACUUAAGAGAUAGUUCCAGCUCUUCUGUGACCUUGAUGGUGACCUUGUGAAAACCCCCACCCCACCCCAACUGAUCUCAUCUUCAUCUUUAAAGUGCAGGUGGUUGUCACACGUACUUGUUUGCUCAGGUCUGGUUUUGUAAAUUUCACCUCGACUGAAAAGUGCCACACAGCUGUGGAGCAUUGUCUUAUUAAUAACCUCACUUUAGCACAUGCUCACCCACGUCUCAUACCUCAUAUUAAUAUUCUACUGACGGAAACAUGUACUGUCACAGUGUGUCUGACCUCCUCUGACUUCCCUGUGGGAAGCUGACCAAGUGGUCACAUUGUCCCCAGGCAGCCUGGGAUUUCCUCCUUCCCGGUCAGAGACUGAGCCCGACUGUGAUUCAUACGGAAGCAUCUCUGCCCGUUGUCAUGGUCCGCUUAGGGCUGAGGGAUCACGUCACAGGCGUUUAUUCCCACAGUUCCCCGGGUUGAAAGUCUAAGAUCAGACCAUUCAGUUCCCGCUAAGGACCCUCUUUUUGGCCAAUGGAUGGCCACCUUCUGACUGUGUCCAUGUGCAGAGACGGUGCCAGAGGGACAGGAGACAAACGGCAACCCCUGUGUUGUCUCUUCUUACCACGGCGGUGGGCUCCAUCAGGACCCCACACUCACGUGACCUCAUCUCAGCCUCGUCAUCUUACAAAGGCCUUGUCAUCAAGGCCAUUCCUUGGAAGCUGGGCUUCCCAAUGGGCAGACUUCGGGGGGAAACAGGCAUCCAGUCAGUGAUCCAUUUCCCAAGCACAGGAUUGCUUUGUGCUCAUGGCGUCUCCCC